rnacentral:tRNA from 1 species
GCCUUGGUGGUCCAGUGGUAGAAUUCUUGCCUACAAUGCAGGAGACCUGGGUUGGACUUCCGGCCAAUGCG